UACGUAGGUGGCAAGCGUUGUCCGGAUUUACUGGGCGUAAAGGAUGCGUAGGCGGAUGUUUAAGUGAGAUGUGAAAUACCCGAGCUCAACUUGGGUGCUGCAUUUCAAACUGGAUAUCUAGAGUGCAGGAGAGGAAAAGCGGAAUUCCUGGUGUAGCGGUGAAAUGCGCAGAUAUAGGAGGAACACCGGUGGCGAAGGCGGGUUCU
rnacentral:rRNA from 1 species